GAGGAGCCUGGACAUCCUUCCAAGCAGACAUGAAUGGUCCUCAGACUUCUGCCUCCCGCACAACUGGCUGUGAUGCCAAGGAAAGAGAUGUCACGUGUGAGAGUCUACAGCCCUCGUGAUGGAAAACGAGUGAGAGUGACGAGACUGCAAGCGUUGUUGGUGCCAGGCAGCAGCUGUCCAUCUGGGAGCAGAACAGCCGCUACUGUCACUGAGAUAAGUGUUUCUUUUGCUGAGGGUUCUGCUCCUCCAGGUAGGGACACCUCGUUAGCUGGGGCUGGGUUUGUAAGAAAAGGUUCCUGACUAGCUGUUGUUAUGAGGGAGACAAGGUCCCCAUUUUCAGGGGCUGGUGAGUUCUCUGACCAGUAGCAGUGUGUCCUCUGCAGUGGAAGGUUAGAUCUGGGAGGAUGACUGCAGGUGGAAAGUCGCUUGCCAUCUUCCCAUGUUUCUCUCUUUCUUCUCUACUGUGUUGGCCAACAUUCUCUCUCUCUCUCUCUCUGUCCCUGCCUCUCCUUGUGCUGUCUUCCUUUGUAGGACACAGGCAGGCGUGCUCGGAGUGCAUCCCCAUGGCCUACGUAUCAGGAGCCAUGAAGAAGUAGGAGAGGAUGAAAAUAAUGCAGAGCAAUGGGCACGAGAGCGGAGCGCUGCGCUUGCAGAGGAAUUGUCCAGGAGCCCUCGCUGGAGGAGAAACUGGCAGAGGUGGAUCUGAGCAGCUUGGACAUCCUUCUAAGGAGACGUGAACAGUCCUGAGCUUUCUGCCUUCUGCAUAACUGGCUGUGA